ACGCCUAGGUUGUUUCCCCCGGUGCCCUCACAGUUAGUUAGUGAACAAAAAGAGUAGUGUUUGGGUUGUGUUCUCUUGAGUGGUUUGAAAAGCCCGUACGACUGAGGCGCCGUCGGCAUUUUGACUGAAGAGAUUUUUAGGGGGGAGGGAUUUCGAACAUAACAAAUUAAGCCACGACUUAUUGGAGUGAAGCGGUCAGCCACAUGCAGUGAAAUAUGUAAUUCUGGUUUUCUGGUGGGGGGCAAUACAGUACUGACUCCAGCAUUGGCAGCUGACUGUUCUCUCUAUUGCUGAGAAAUUCGUGAUUUUUAAAUCGAGCACGUGAAACUCAACUUCCUGGUUGCCGAUGAUCGAUCAGAUUGAAAUGAGGAGGUUUUCGUCUGUCGAGAAGUUCCUGAUACUGAGUUGUCUUUCUCUAACGACCCUUUUUGUCUACUGUAUCCUUAUCAAUGGAUCAUCAGACAGUAAAUUGAAGAAGAUGGCUCCUGAAACCAGAGGUGUGAAGAAUAAUGCUUCCUCUGAAGAGUCCGUUCAAAUGAAUCUCAGCGUGGGCUUCUGGGUUUCUGUUGCCGGCAGUGGACAAAAUAGAAGUAAGCAAAAAAAUGCUCCUAAUGCUUCAGAGGGGACAAGUGAACCAAUCCAAAUGGAAGCACCAUUCCCAGGAGAUCAGUAUGCCACAGAUUACACCUAUCUUCAUUCAAAAUGUCCUGAAAACCUGAGGGCACGAAUGGCAAAAAUACCUGAGUAUAAAGGUGUCUUUUUGGGAACGGUACCCCUCCUGCAAUGGAAUAAACAUGCUACAGAACGGGAGUAUAAAAGACUGAGCAGAUAUAAUGGAGCUCAUGGAUGGGAGGUAAUCAGCUAUGAAGACCUGAAGGAUGCCCUGAGCUACCUUAACACCUCUGCAAACAGCUUCAUGUUUGAUGACUGGGAGAAAAGACCAAACAAGACCUCAGACUGCAUUCGUUGUGCAGUAAUUGGAAAUGGUGGAAUUCUGAACGGUUCUCAGAUGGGCAAGGAAAUCGAUCAGCAUGACUAUGUAUUCAGAGCAAAUGGAGCCAUUACUAAAGGAUUUGAGAAAGAUGUAGGAACUAGAACAUCAUUUUAUACAUUUUCCACAAAUACAAUGAGGAAUUCUCUAAAUGCAUAUCGCACUUUGGGAUACAGUGGUUUACCACAAUCUAAGGAGACGAGGUAUGUUUUUCUCCCAGACCACGACCGUGAUUACUACCUGAUAAAAGCUGCCAUAACGCACACACCCAUAGAGAAGGGAUCUGACAAAUCCAAUAAGCCACCUACAUUUUUUGGAGAAAACACUGGACCUGAAAAAUUCAAGAUGUACCACCCUGACUUUAUUCGAUACGUUCGAAAUAGGUUUCUACGGGCGCACAUUUUGCAGACUCCACACCGUAAUAUUUAUCGCCCGUCCACUGGUGCGGCAAUGCUCUUGGCUGCCAUCCAUUCCUGCGAUGAGAACCAGAUGCAGUGUCGAGCAUACUAUGCCAAUUGGAUGUCCUCUCCUGCUGACAGUAAUUUUCCAUGAAAAAUCCCAAAAAUGACCUAGACUUUGGUGCACGGAGUACAAAAUCAAAAUUUGCAGGUAACGAAAAAACUUGGAAGAAUUGUGAGGAGGAUGGUGAUAGAUUUCAAGAGGACAUAGACAGGCUGCUGGGAUGGGUGGAAACAUGGUGGAUGAAAUUUAAUGCAGAAGCAUGUCUCUCAGAAUUCUCCGAGCUGUCCCUCCAAGUGGAUCCCACAGAAUCUUGCCUCUGGAGUUUUGACAUUCUACAUGGGCCCAAUUGUUCUGUAUUUUUGAAGAACUAUUUCCCCCCUCAGGAAAAAUGACUGGAUUUGAUGGGGGAAUGUCACCACUUGACUCCCAUUGGAUGUGAGUGUUCCGCUGGAUUUCAACUAUUAUUUUGGAGAUCAGAACUUACUUAUGCACUCACCAGGACUGUCUGGAGUGGAACUUGAGCCCACUAACCUUCUGAUUUAGAGGCGGAGAAUACUAACUAAGGCUCAAACUCACUCUGCUUAAUGUACUGCUAGUGAUAAACUAAAGCAUGAGUAAGUGGCAAAUCAUGCAUUCCCCAUUUGGUCAUGCCCACACAAACUGCUGACAUAGCUUUAGUGGGCAGACAAUUCUGCCCUUGAACUUCAUUUUGCAUAGCAGUUGUUGCUGGUCUUCCUGAUAAAACUUCCUUAUUGUGUAAGAGCUAAAUAUGGUGUGAAGGCGAAGUCAGUGCAAUGAACAGAUGAUUUUGAAUGUGUCUUGGUCACUCUUAGAGAAACUUGAAACUGCAGAUACAAACUAUAAAUAAUUUAAUUGGCAAACGUAACAGAUUUUUUAAUUUCUCAGUUGAAAUCAGUUUUCUAGCAUUUAGCUCACUUAACUGUGUUCAGGCAUAUAACAUGAUUGAAAAGUGCAUUGAUCAUUUGAAAACUGCAGGUAUUCACCAAGUUUAUUUUGCCAGCACUUCCCAACCCUGUGACUUCUGUCACAAGAAGAACCAGAGCAGCAAGAUCAUGUCAAUGUCAAGAUCCCCAAGUCACCUACCACCUUGAUAUGGAAAUGCAACCUUUAUCAUCAUUGGGUCAGAAACCUGGAGUUCUCUGCAUCAGGGGAGCAUCAUCAGCACAAGAACUGCAGACGUUCAAGGAGAAAGCCCAUUACCAGGGCAAUAAACGGCAGCCUUACCAGCGUUCCCCACAUCCCAAGAACCAGUUUUUUUUUAAAUGGAGGUGAUAUUUCUCUGCAAAAAUCAGUGGAUGGGUUUCAAUCCUAUUCAAUUGAAUAGAUACUCAUGGAAGAUAGCCAAAGAAGAUCUGUUUUUUUCCAACAAUAGAAACUGUAUAAUUGGAAAGUGAGCUCCGUCAAGGAUGCAAGUACUUAACUCCAGUUUUUCUGAGAAAUGCUGUUGCAGAAAAGCUGAAAAAUUUUGUCUUAUGUUCAUUUGCUUUGAUUUUAGCACAUUAAUCUGACAUUCAAAAGUUCAGACACAUUUCAUAUUCUUGUGGGAAGUGCUGAUUAAUUGGAAAUAAAAUGGAUUAGAUUUUCAAAA